rnacentral:misc_RNA from 1 species
CGGGACGUUGUUAAAUUUGGAGGGUUUCUGUCACAGUAUGCGCGGAUCGAGACGUUUGCUGCUCGAUAAAAUGUUAACGAAACAAUUCUACAAACGUGAAUUUAAUUCAUAAAAAUCAGAACAGAUUGCAUUGCAUUUAAAAUGUGUGAAAACCGAAUAUUGAAAUAAAUAUUUUAAAUGUG